CAAAAAGUAGCUUACACCAAAGCACUCGACCUACAAUCGAACGACAUUAAACAAUAAUCUUUUUGA
rnacentral:tRNA from 2 species